UUUACUGAUAUACACUUAAAGAAAUUUUGUUGAUAUGUUACAUAAUAAAAAAUGUUAUAAAAAAAUAUGAAAAUCAGGUGCUACAAAAAAAGAUCAAAACGAUGUCAUUUUUACGAAUGCUUCAAAGUAUUCUGAAGAAUGUUGUGGAGAAUUAAGAAGUGGAUUACUUCAAAUUCUACCUGAAUGGUUUCCGAAAACAAUGAGAAGGGAAAUUUUCUCGACCUAAUGCAACGCAGAGCUCUCGUGAUACCAAUAAAUAAACACAACAAAUAUUUGCAAAUUCCCUACGACUUAAAUUGUCCGUCGGUACAAAGCCAACAUCAAAAACGCAUAUGCAAAACGUGUGGGUUGUAUUUUGCAUCAAAAAAAUCAGCUACUCGGCAUGCAAUAAUUCAUAAAAAUAUAGCUGUAAGCUUCGAUAAGAAAUCAAAGAAACCCCUUUACCGUGUGGCUGGACGGCGAAAGGGAGAAUGCCUAGUAAUUCAGACAUACGAAGAAUGUGAAGACCUCGAAUGGCUUGACGAGGACUAUGUAGACGAAGAAGACGAAGAUGAUACCUGCGGAGAUCUAGAGAUUUUGACAAUCCAACUUCCAAUAAUAAAUUAUAUUAAAGAUUGGCUGGAAUCUUCUUUUGAAAAUACAGAUAAGUAGUUUUAAAUAGAUUUAAGAUUUUCGUGUAUCUUUCUUGUAAGAGAAGUGUAUGAAAUAAAAAUAUUUUUUAAACGGAACUCAUUGGAGUAACACCAUUAUUAUAAUGGGCUCCUCUUAACAAUCCUAUUAGGCAAUUUAUAAGUCCUUCUUCUCCGUCGCUGCAUAUCUUUAAACAAUUCUCACACGUUCUCUUCUGUUUGAACCGAACAUUAUUCUGCCGCCUCUUAAGAUUCCCGUUUCUUGAUUGAGAAUACUGUUUUCUUCUGCAUUUCCGUGCAAAAUGCAUCAACAUCCGCCUUUGCUUUUCAAGCCAUUAUUUUGUUGAUGAAAUCGGUGCUAGUGUAGGUAGAUUUUAUUAGCAUGGCUUCGGAUUGUUUAUUUAUUUGUUCCUCAACCUGUCAAGCUGCUAUGACCUCGUCCAAGGAAUACUCCCUCUCUAAUAGUUUUUUCUUCAAAUCUACAAGCGCCUAAGAAUCUAUUAUUUUGUCUUUUAGACAAAUCUCCUCGGUUUCCACCUUAGAUUGGCUAAACGAACAAUUCCAGAUUUGGUCAUUCUCGAGCUCUGCUAACUUCCGAAACAAAUGCCUUUCAAAAGUGGAAUUUUGUUUGUGCGAAAAGUAAGCAUUUGGCUUCUCCACCAAAAUCUUAAACACAUCAUUUCCCUGGUAUCGAGAACGUGACAGUCUGCAGUUGCACACCACCCAUGUGAAGAAGUUUAGUUCUCUUCAUCUUCUUCAUGCUCUAAACCACCUUUCCCAUUAAAUUAAUGUACCGAAGUACGACUUUUCAAUGGUGUCGCAUAGAAAAGGUUUUAAACAAUUUUCAGCCAUCCUAAAACCAGGCAAACAAAAAAGUGUUUGUUUUUAGUACAAUAUUGGCUUGUUUGAACGCAGCCUCGAAUUAUAUAAUUUUAUUUCCUUUAA